CUGGUGUUCCGCAGAGCGCUCGGACUCCGCUACGGAGUACAAAACUGGGGUACCUCGUGCGCCCCUCUUCCAUUGGCACCCUGGUGUUUGACCGCGCUGCACGAGCUAAACGCCGCCACCGUCAGGAGCGAGGUAGAUCGUCGAUUGGUCCUUGGGGAGGGGAUGCUCGGAGUGUGGGCGCGAACCCUCCAGGCCUGGAAAUCAAGCCGGGUGCGGGCAAUUGCUCGCCGUGGUGAGAGCUCCGCCGCGAAUCCGCCUCUCGCCGUGGAUAGUCUCCCUCGGACCGUCUCCUGCGCUGGGCAGCAGCUGCUUGAGGACGACCACACAGUCGUGUACCUCACUGCAUACCUGCUUACCCUGGAUGCACAGUAUGAUCUCUUGGCUCGGCACCACCGCCAGAUGAUUGCCCGAGCAGAAGAUGCAGAGAAGUGCAACCGUCAGCUCCAUGUGGUUCUCACCACAUCUCAGGCCCGUGCAGCUGCCCUGAAAAGUCGUGAAACCAUAGUUGUUGAAGCCCUGAAGCAAGCCAAGGAUGAGCACGUCCAGAAGUUGAUGGAGGCCUACUUGGUAACCCACAACCAACGUAGAGCCCUACGGAUCCAGGAGCCCGCUUCGUCCGACCCAGUUCAACCCGUGAGAGCUGAAGAUCCCCAAAUUCUUGAAGGCAAGACUAUGGAUAAGCAAGAGCACCUCAAAUCCUCCCAAGAUCCACCGCCAGAGUUGUUUGAGCCCCUCACCAUGAAGAAGAUUCCAGCACCCUCCCUUGAGGUCAAGGAAGAAGCUGCAAGUACUCCGCCAACACCAACACCCUCUGAGGAGCUACAAGAGCCAGUCCCGCUUGAAGAAGAGUUCGACCCCGUCCUACCAUCUCAGACACCGCCAGAAGAAGUCAUCAACAUCAGCUCCCUCUUAACCCAUCCAGGAGAUGUCUCAGAUUGA
rnacentral:misc_RNA from 1 species